UCUAUUUCAAUUUUAGCUCACAUCUCUCUCUCCUCUGUUAUCUCUAUCGCUUCUCCUUCCCGGCUCUCUCAGAACCAAAGAAAAAAACCAUUUUUUUCUUAUGAACCUUCCACCUCCUGUUCCAUUUUCUUACCAAGACUAAUUAUGAAUCAACAGAUCUGCAUGAUUGCUUCCUCCUUCCAACAGAACUGAUGAUUCUAAAUUUUAUAAAUCAAAUAACCCUCAUAUAUGUCUAUGUAUCUGUUGUUGCGGAAAUUUGAAACCCUAACUCUCUGUAAAUAUCUGUAGAAACAGUAAAAUCCUUCACGACCGACCAACAUCCCCUUUUGUUCAUCAAUAACUUCCAAAACCCAAUCCUAGAUUUUUGCCAUCGCAAUCAGAAACCCUAUCUCUCUAUUUCGAAAGAUUUUUUAAGAGGUUAAACAAUCGAAGACGUGGACAGAGUAUGAUAUAGGUGUGAAUACUUUCUCAAUUGAGGGGAGAUUUUUUCUGGUUGAGUAUGCGAUUGAAGCUAUUAAGGUACUAAAUAAAGUUUGGAUGGAAUUACGGAGCGAAAAGAGCAGAAAAAUGGUGGAAGCCGAGAAGAAUUACGCAAAGAAGCUGUGAAGAAUGUUGUGCGCAAGACCAAAAGGCUAAAAAUGGGCUCAACAAGGAGGAAAUUGAUCUUAAAGAAGAAAUGGGCUCGGAAUUACCCCAAGCCCAACUUAUCUCCCACACCAAAACCCAAAUUCACAACCACUUCUCCCGUAGCCGUCAUAUUGGAUCCUCAUCUGAAUCCAACGGUCGCUUCAUCGCCAGUACAUCAAAUUUGCUACAACCGCUUCACACCACAGCACCUUACUCGGUCUUGAGCCGUCAGUUUCGUUGUAUUUUUGCAUCCAACGGUCGCUCAUGAUCUGUCUCCAUAUCGCCGUUAGAUCCGUUCCAGAAGAUGUUAUCCCACGGCUCAGCUUUACAAGACAUCAAAUCUUGAUGUUCCCGAUACACACCUUAGAACCCUAACAUAUUUUUCCAAAACAAACAACACCUAAUUCAUUCUAUCGGGUUUUCUUCGUCUCCUCCUUCUUCUUCUUCACAGCGCCUCCACCAACUCCACUGCACUGUCGCCAUCACUACCACUUGCUCCGCCACCAACUCCACCUUAAUCACCACCAUACCCACCACGUAUAACAACCAAACCCAUCACUCUACCUACCUAUUACAUCAACCUCUCGAUCUUUCUUUCUCUCUGAAACCCUAGUUUUUGGGGAUGAUGAUAUAGGUUAGUUAGAGAAGAAAUCAAAGGUAUGGGAAGAUAGAGAAGAAGAUAUGGAAGCAUGGGUCGACGAAAUAGAAGAAGAAAUCAGAGAGUUAGGUGAGUGAAUUUCGUAUUUGGUGAAACCCUAGUUUCAC